ACAUCCUCUCCUGCAACCCCAACCCUCCGUACCGCAGGCAAGAAAACAUUGAUGUUUCUGCAUCUGGCAGCAUGUCUCUGGGAGAAGAGGCCGGCGGAAGGGAGUUUGAUGUGUGAGUGACAGAUCCCCAGUGUGACAGUGACAGUGACCAGGAAGAGAAGGUAAGACCCCCCCUCCCCCAUUGUGGGCACAGCACAUAACACACUGAACACCAGAGUCCUCCCACACACAGCUGCAGGGUAGGAUGCCAGCUUCAUGUUGACAGGACCUUUUCUCUUUAGGAAAGAUGGGCAUUAUUCACACAGUGACAUUUCCUAUGCUAUGACACGUUUAAUUUGUCAGAUCUACCUUUUUUUCAUUUAAACAAGACCUUUAAUAUUGCAUAUAUGUGACACUGAGUUUUUACUUUAUGGAAGAUGACUCAUAGACUCAAAAACAUUUUAAAAGACAAAAUUAUUUAUUUUAAUAACCAUCUGAUUUUUAAAAAUCCAUGAUGAGAACGUUAAACUUGCUAGUUUGUGUUUAUAAUGUCAUUUCUGCAUUUAUUUUACUGACCC
rnacentral:lncRNA from 1 species